rnacentral:tmRNA from 1 species
GGGGGCGACCGGUUUCGAGGGGGUAUGAUAAUGGUAAAAUCGCAUGCAGAGGUCCCGGGAUCCUCUUAAAUAUCCCCGGACUAUCAAUAAAUGCCGAUUACGGCUAUAUGGCUGCAGCUUAAUUAGCUCUGCCCGUCCGGGAAAUGAAUUUGUCUAUGGUUUAAUCUAAGGGCGUCAUAAACAUGGACUGGUCCCUGCGAUUGCUUACAGCAAGGGGAUGAGAUACUUGGUAAGCUGGUUGACAGACUCAGUGAUAUCGGGUGGGACUUCAAUAAGACAAAAUCAGAUAACUAAGCAUGUAGACGUUUUAUUAGCAUCUGUCUCGGACGGGAGUUCGAAUCUCCCCGCCUCCAC